rnacentral:rRNA from 1 species
AUGUAUUCUGAAUAUAAAAACUCUUCUUGUGAAAAUACUUUUGUCCUGUUUGUCAAACACUCAUAUACCCAAAUGAAGCUAUGCGAACUCAGUACACACGUCUCUACUGGAAACCUUGAUUGGCUUACGUGGCAGCAACCGCACAAGCCUGCCCACUUGGUGAUAGAAGCCAAUUCCGAGCCUAUACAACAAGUGGUUGCCAAUGCCAAGGAAAUCUGUCUGAAUGCAUCACACAUGGUACCGCUUGCGCCUAUGGGAACUCCCCUGGUAUUUGUAACCAUUGCGGGCAUGCAACACUGA